GUUCCCGUAGCUCAGCCGGAUAGAGCGCAGGAUUCCUAAUCUUGAGGCCGUGAGUUCGAAUCUCGCCGGGAACGCCA
rnacentral:tRNA from 1 species